AACGAACGCUGGCGGCAUGCCUAACACAUGCAAGUCGAACGAUUGCCUUCGGGUGAUUGUUGCGCACGGGUGCGUAACGCGUGGGAAUCUGCCCUUAGGUUCGGAAUAACAGCUGGAAACGGCUGCUAAUACCGGAUGAUAUCGCGAGAUCAAAGAUUUAUCGCCUGAGGAUGAGCCCGCGUUGGAUAAGGUAGUUGGUGGGGGAAAGGCCUACCAAGCCGACGAUCCAUAGAUGGUCUGAGAGGAAGAUCAGCCACACUGGGACGGAGACACGGCCCAGACUCCUACAGGAGGGAGCAAUGGGGAAUAUUGGCAAGUGGGCGGAAGCAUGAACCAGCAAUGCCGCGUGAGUGAUGAAGGCCGUAGGGUUGUAAAGCUCUUUUACCCGGGGAGAUAAUGACUGUACCGGAAGAAUAAGCCCCGGCUAACUCCGUG
rnacentral:rRNA from 1 species